AGGGGCUCCCCGCGCCGCCCCCUGCAAAGCCCCAGCAGGCCCCGGCCACGCUGCGCCCGGAGCUGCCCCAGCCCUGCCCAGAACGCGGCCGCCCCGGGAGCCGCCGGGCAGCGCCGAGGCGAGCGGGCGCCCGGCCCCAGGGAAGCGGGGCGCUCCCAGCCCGGCCCCACUGACCCCGGGCGGGGGCGGGGGGGGCACAACGCAGCACGGCGCCGCUCCCCCGCUCGGAGCGAGCCUGCCCCCCGCCGCUGUGGCAGGGAGGCGGCGCCCACCACCCUGGGGUGCGAUCAAUUGUCUCGGGCAGCAAAUUGUCAACAGUCCCUCAGCCUCCCACCCCCAGCGCUGCCCCGGCGCCGGGGGCACAAGGGCAACGGGGGCCGAGAUCCAGGAGACUGUGUCCGCGCUCACCUGAAACGGGGCCUUCCUUAGAAAUACGAAGGUCCGCACAGAACCUGUUACAAUGGAUACUCCAGCCUGCCUGAACCUGGGGGCAGAGCCAGACCUGUCAGUCAUGGGCAGCGGGAGCAUGCCCUGCCUCCUGAAGUUUCCUCCGCUUGCAAUAACUUCCACAGCCAGGAUGAUUCUCAUCUGUUUUCCGAAAUCACAGGUGGCGAUAACUAUUAUUUGAAGGGGGAAAGUAUAGUUUCAUCUUCCCCUCGACGGGCUGUGCACACAGAGACGGGAAACUCUGCUCUGCCCAGGACAGAAGUUGAUUUUCAUUCUUGGGGUUGGGCUGAUGUGUUCUUUCUAGUUUAUUUAUUAAAGCCCCGUUAGACAUGCUGACUGUCAAGACCAGAAUAGAUCCGUUACACAUGGAAGGAAGAGUGCUUCAAGAGCUCCAUAAAUCACUGUGUUCCAGCCAGCGGAUGGAUCUCUUUUUGGUACCUAUUCCCCGCAUUGAAUCACGUCCUCAACGAGCCCUCUCCAUGAUCCCCUGCUAGCUUCUGACAUAUGAAUCACGCUGCCUGGUUAACUAAUGGAUGGACCCCUUCAAAAAAGUCUGGUUCUCUGCAUUUACCAGUUGAGGGAACGGACAACAGAUAACAGGCACUGGACCUCGCAACAGAUGUGCUAGGAUGAGAUCCAGAGGGGAUAACAGGAAUUAGGGGGUAGGACUCACAUGAACUCUGGAUCACUGACACACGUGUACAUGAGAUCAGCAUUCUCAGUAGGUUGCCCUAAGAAUUGGAUUUUUGUUUCUGUGACACAGUGAGCAGGGGAGCCAAGCACUGAGGAUUAUGCACCAUGCUGCAUCCAUAAAGGGUCCAUAUGUGUCUGAUUUCUCCUGGAGGCCUCAGCAGAGGAUAUGAGAAGAGAAUUCCAGGGGGAGGGAGAUGACCUUUGAGCUCAGCCUCCUAUCACGCACUCUGGCGCUGCCAGUGUCCAUGCUUCGUCCAGUACCCUCCAUUCGUGACUCAGAGGGAAGCAGAGAAGGAAGAGGUAGCUGAGUUCCGCAAUCAGAGGCAUCGCUGCAGUUUGGUUACUUUCUGCACUUGACAGCAUUGUGUGUCCAGUCAGCCUCAUUGUGCCUCUAGCAAAAUCAGGGUCGCAGAUGUUCUUGGAGCACGAACUGGACUGCAGUUUGCCACUCAGCUCCCUAAAGGUGCUUGAAGUACUCUCAUCUCCCACUGGUUCUUGAAGUACACUUAUUCUCCUUACACAUCACAUAUCCAUGACUAUUUCUAACUAUAGUACUCAACCCUCUAUCCACUAAUUCUGUUCUCUGUGUGCUUCAAUAACAUCUGUCUUUAAUGUCACAGCCUCUAUUCUUCCCCGUAUCCCUAUAAUUUACUACCCAAUGCUAGCCUCUUCUAUAAAGCAGCCAUCCCAGUCCAUUCAAUACUCCCUCUUCUCACUCUCUCUCUUUAAUUUAUCGACUGGCAGUUGCUUGGUCGAGACUGCGACAUGGAUGAGAGCUAGUUGGCUGGAGUUCAAUCCAGACAAGUCUGAAGCAAUCCUGAUUGUGGGAAACUACCAGAAGAUGUAGCGAAUAUAAUCUAGUUGAAGAUAACAUCUGUUUCUUUGACUGGGGAUGUGUGUUUGGCUUUUGUUCAGACUUAGGGGUCUGGUUAGAUUCCCAGAUGUUACUAAAGGAUCAGGUAGCAGCAAUGUCAGGACGCUGGUUUUUAAAAACUUACAUAUGGCCAAGAAGUAGUGAUAGUCCCUCUCCAACGCAGAUCUGACAACUGUCAUUUAUGCCUCUGUCAUCUAAGGAUGAGAAUACUGCAAUAUUUUCUACAUGGCACUGCACUUUAAAUCCAUUCAUAAACUGAAGCUGGUGCAGAAUUCAGCAGCCCACUUCAAAAGCCAUGUAUCCUACCGUGAGCAUUUUUACCCUGGUGCUCCAGGAUCUGCACUGGCUGACUGUUGGCUUCCAGGUAGAUUUUAACAUGUUUCACUUGACAUAUAAAGCCCUAAGUGGCCAGGGACCUGCCUACUGGAGAGACCACAUCUCUCACCUUGCCACAUUGCUGCAGUUGCCAUCAGCAGAAGCAUUUAAACUGGCACCCACUUGGUAUAAGAGAACGCUGCUGGCAGGUCCUUCUAGGUGAAGUCCCCUUGAUUUCAGAACUUGCUCCCCCGUUUAAUCCAAAAUAGCUUGCUUUUGAUUAUCAUUACGGCACGCUGGAAAGCUCAGUUUUCUUCUCCACAUUAUGAAGAGGGGGGAAGCUUAUGUGGGUGGUUAGGAGUGAGAGAAGGAUGGUUCAAUCUUUAAUUUGUCUAUGUUUGCUGGUUGGGGGUUUAAUGGAGUUGCUGAAGUUAUAAUUAAGGAAUUUUCAGUAUUUGUAGAUUAAACAAUGUCAAGGGAGCCUAGAGUGAAUGGACAGCUGCUUUUUUUUU